rnacentral:rRNA from 1 species
UACAGAGGGUGCGAGCGUUGUUCGGAAUUAUUGGGCGUAAAGGGCGCGUAGGCGGUGCGGUAAGUCACCUGUGAAAUCUCCUGGCUCAACUGGGAGCUUGCAGGCGAAACUGCCGUGCUGGAGUGUGGGAGAGGUGAGUGGAAUUUCCGGUGUAGCGGUGAAAUGCGUAGAUAUCGGAAAGGAACACCUGUGGCGAAAAGCGGCUCACUGGACCAUUACUGACGCUGAGGCACGAAAGCUAGGGGAGCAAACAGG